UACGGAGGGUGCGAGCGUUGUCCGGAAUCACUGGGCGUAAAGCGCACGUAGGCGGCUUUUUAAAGUCAGGGGUGAAAUCCUGGAGCUCAACUCCAGAACUGCCUUUGAUACUGAGAGCUUGAGUCCGGGAGAGGUGAGUGGAACUGCGAGUGUAGAGGUGAAAUUCGUAGAUAUUCGCAAGAACACCAGUGGCGAAGGCGGCUCACUGGCCCGGUACUGACGCUGAGGUGCGAAAGCGUGGGGAGCAAACAGGG
rnacentral:rRNA from 1 species